AGCCCCGUCGUCUAGUGUGUCCUGUGUCUCAAGUCCCGCGUCCAGAACGCGAAACGCUAAACAGGAAACAGACUUUGGUCAAGGAUGACAGGCUCUGGACCUGUAUACGUCGGUUCGAAUCCGAUCGGGGCUA
rnacentral:tRNA from 1 species